rnacentral:lncRNA from 1 species
GGCAAAAGGAGGAGGGGGGGGGAAGCCCUGUGGGGUGUGGGGGCUUCCGGAGGUGGUGAAAUGGGGGAGAACGCCCCGAAAAUGAGGGAGAGAGACAUCCCCCCCCACCCCCCCCCCGGUUCUCCAAGAGCGGUGGUUGGAGUUGGGGGGAAAUGGUUUAAAAAAGAGAGAGUGGUGGAUGAUGGAAGCGUGGGGAGAAAAGGGGUGGUGGGGGAUGUCAGAGGGUGGGGGCUGAUAGUGCUGUGAGGAGGGGAGAAAUGGGGAAUAAUGCCCUACUGGGGGGAAAGCUCUGGAUAUAGCGGGGCUUUCCUGAGGUGGAAAUGGGGUUAAAUGGGGGAAAAAAAAAAAAGAAUUGUGGUAUGAAGGAAAAUGAUUUGGUGGGGAACCCUCUGGGGAGUGGGGGACUCCAGAGGGGGAAAGUGGGGGGAGAAAUGGGGGAAAAUGCCCCCCCCCCCAAAAAAAAUGAGGGAGAGACACCCCGAUUAGCGGUGCUUUGAAUGGUCCAAAAAUGGGAGAAACGGUGGAAAAAAGAAAUGAUGAUAAUGUUAAAUAUAAGGGAGAGAGGUGGUGAGGAACCCCCUGGGAAUGGGGGCGUAUGGUGGGGGAAAUGCCCCAAAAAUGACGGAGGGAAACCCCUGGGGGUGGGGGCUUCUGUGGCUGAAAAUGGGGGGAAAACGGUCAAAAGAAAAAGAAAAAAGGGGGGGGGAGGGGUACACAAAAAUAACCAAAAGCACAGAGAGGUGGUGGGGAACCCCCCAGGAGUGGGGGCUGUGGUCAAAAAACGGGGGAAAAUGGUAAAAAAUGAAACUGCAGAAUUGAGGGCAGAGGUUGAUGGGAGGGGUCCUCCCGAUAGCAAAUGGGUGAAUUGACCAAAAGGAGCGAAAAUGCACCCAAAAAGGUUCAGUGGGGGCACAUGGAGCUGUGCGAAGUGGUAAGAGCCCCCCAAAAAUGGGGAGAAAAAGGUGUUUUUAGGGACAGACACCAACGUUGGGUGUGAAGGUGAUGCGUGGCACAGCCGCGGUGGUAAAAAACACGAUGGAAAAUAAGGAGGAAUGGAGGAAAAAAGGAGAAGAAUGGGAUAGGAGUUGGGAAGGGGAAGUGGGAGGAAAUGGGAAGGAAGAAAGGAGGUGGGAAAAAAUGAGGAAACGUGAGAAAAAUAUAUUAAAAAAAUGAGGAAAUAGGAGGGAAGAUGAGGAAGGGAAGAGGAAACUGAGAGGGAAAGAGGAAGGAAGAAGGAAAAUAGGGAGAGGAAGGGAAGGGGAAAUGGGGAGAAAGGAAGAGGAAAAGGAGGGGAAAGAGGAAAUGGAGAGGGAGAAAGAGGAAGGAAGAGGCGAGGGAGGGGAAGGGAAAGGGGAAAUGGAG